rnacentral:rRNA from 1 species
GAUGAACGCUGGCGGCGUGCCUAACACAUGCAAGUCGAACGAGGCACUUAAAGAGAUCCUUCGGGUGAUCUUUUUGUGACUGAGUGGCGGACGGGUGAGUAACGCGUGGGUAACCUGCCCUGUACAGGGGGAUAACAGUUAGAAAUGACUGCUAAUACCGCAUAAGCGCACGGAGUAGCAUGGCUCUGUGUGAAAAACUCCGGUGGUACAGGAUGGGCCCGCGUCUGAUUAGCUUGUUGGCGGGGUAAAGGCCCACCAAGGCGACGAUCAGUAGCCGGUCUGAGAGGAUGAACGGCCACAUUGGAACUGAGACACGGUCCAAACUCCUACGGGAGGCAGCAGUGGGGAAUAUUGCACAAUGGGGGGAACCCUGAUGCAGCAACGCCGCGUGGGUGAAGAAGUAUUUCGGUAUGUAAAGCCCUAUCAGCAGGGAAGAUAAUGACGGUACCUGACUAAGAAGCUCCGGCUAAAUACGUGCCAGCAGCCGCCGCAGUAA